rnacentral:rRNA from 1 species
CCUACGGGAGGCAGCAGUGGGGAAUCUUAGACAAUGGGCGCAAGCCUGAUCUAGCCAUGCCGCGUGUGUGAUGAAGGCCUUAGGGUCGUAAAGCACUUUCGCCAGAGAUGAUAAUGACAGUAUCUGGUAAAGAAACCCCGGCUAACUCCGUGCCAGCAGCCGCGGUAAUACGGAGGGGGUUAGCGUUGUUCGGAAUUACUGGGCGUAAAGCGUACGUAGGCGGAUUAGUAAGUUAGAGGUGAAAUCCCAGGGCUCAACCCUGGAACUGCCUUUAAUACUGCUAGUCUUGAGUUCGAGAGAGGUAAGUGGAAUUCCGAGUGUAGAGGUGAAAUUCGUAGAUAUUCGGAGGAACACCAGUGGCGAAGGCGGCUUACUGGCUCGAUACUGACGCUGAGGUGCGAAAGUGUGGGGAGCAAACAGGAUUAGAUACCCUGGUAGUCCACACCGUAAACGAUGAAUGCCAGACGUCAGCAAGUAUACUUGUUGGUGUCACACCUAACGGAUUAAGCAUUCCGCCUGGGGAGUACGGUCGCAAGAUUAAAACUCAAAGGAAUUGACGG